CAGGGGCUCGGUUUCUUCCCAGCAGCUCCAGCUUCCUGCAGAGCUGGGCGAUGUUGCCAAUGCACGGAGGACGAAGCUGCCCGGAACCGCAGGCCGCGCCGGGGCCUUGGGAACGGAGGGGCCUCACUGGAUCUCGGUUUCCCGCGCCUCUCCGGAGCAGUCCCUGAGCCAGAGUACCCAGGGUCACCGGGACCGUCGGGCCUCGGACUCCCGCUGACCUCGGCCAAGCGCAGGCAGGAGUUUGCGCGCCCCCUCCCGCCUCAGGCCGGCUGGGGACCAGCGGGCGGCUGCAUCCGUCUGCAGCGCGCGCGCGCCCUCUGCUGGGAAAUGCAGGACUCGUUCUGCUCGUCCCGAAAACCGGGCAGGGACAGUGCAGCUAAUCCGGGGACCAGAAAGGAAGGGCUGGGCACCGACUGGCACAGAGGGUGUGGAACCUUCCCGGGGCCACACAGCUGGUGGGCAGAAGACCCUGACCUGGAGCCACCCUGGGAGCCGUGAGGAGCAGAUGAUGAGAAGCUCGCCCCUCACACACUGCGUUUUUAUUGAGCACCCUCUACCUGCCGGACUGCGAGAUCGCAGGGACUCAGCAGCGAACACAACAGGGCCGGGCCCUGCCUUCUUGCAACUGAUGUUCCAGUGGGGUGGGGAGAGCCCAGUGUCUGUAAACUCCGUUUUCAGCUGGACAGAGGCCUCUGGAAAAGCCCCACCGAGUCCCCGUCGCAACCACGCGUCCACCUCUACGUGAUUUUUGGCCACGUCCCCGUGGCGUUUGCUUCUAGAUCCCUGGCUCUGGCUUGGAUGUCUCAGGAAAGGAGCUUCCGGUCCCAGCUUCUGUCCCCAGCACCUGUGGCUGACUUUGAACUUGAACUCUCCACCCUCCGGCGUCAGGCCUUACCUUACAGGUGUGCCUGGCGGAGAACUGGGCUUUGAAGGAACUCGGCAGUUUCUUACCAUGAAUCACUGGAGUUUUCCAUGGUGACCACACCUGACGGUCUGCAGGACCAGUGCCUGCUGGAGGUCAGAGGACACCAUCAGCGCCCUUGGGAGAACAGGGCAGCUGCUGCCUGCCGUGCAUGCGCAGAGGCCUCAGUGCUUGCAAGCUGGCCGUGGCCGUAGGUGCCCUCGCUGCCUUAUCCGAAACCCUGCCACCACAGUGACUCCACAGGUGGGUACAGUCCAGGGUCCUCAGUGACAGGUGACGGCAGCCUGAGCCCCUCCCCUCAGGCCGCUCCCCAGGUGACUGACCAGACUGAACUGCCCAGCCCACCCGCUUCUUUUCUCUGGCCACCGCAUUGUGGUGGGAAGCUUUCAGCAGCUGACUCUCAACUUCCUGCUCUGAGGAAAGGCAGAGCCCUGAGGCCCAGCCCUCAACUUCCUCUGUGGCUCCCUGCUAGGGCUGGGACAGGGACACAAGACAGACAGAACCCCUGCUUCCCCUGAGGGGAAGGACAAGAGGCCACAAAGGGACCUGCUGGAGAUCUCGGCAGGAGAGCAGCAGGUCAGGUCACAGCAAGUCACCAGAGCGGCCAGGCAGUGUGAUCUCCACCCAGAGGGACCUGGCCCAGCCCCGAGACCAGGAAGCUGUCAGAAGCGACACCCGAGCUGCAUUCCUGGUGCCAACCUGAGGGGGCACUUUCAGAAGCGGUGGCUUUGCCAUCUCAGGGCACUGUGAAGCCCUCCCUACCCCUGAAUCCCUACACAGGGAGACAGUGCAGGAGUCCACCUGUUGACAGGAACAGUGACUAGGAGCAUGGUAAGCAAAACGUUAUCCCUAUGAAAAGAACUCUCACGCCAGGCACAGUGGCCAUGCUUGUAACCCCAGCUCUCUGGGAGGUAGAGGCAGGACCCCAAGUCCCAGCCAGCCGGAGCGGCUUCUGGAGACCACCUCAGAAUAAAAAAGGCACUGCUUCCAGUUCCCAAUACGGGACACAGAGGCAAGGAGUAGGGCACUGCGUGGCAUGACGAAAAUAUCCUACUCCAUUUGGUGGAUGGAAAUUCGCUUGUCAUUACGGAAGCACGUAAGAGCCCCAAUUCUGCCUAUUCUAAAAAUCCUAAGUAUUCUUCCACAAAGGGCUGAACCCCAAAGCAUGUGAAAUAUUACACUGCCCCUAAUUAGUAUGCCGAGAUGAAGAAGGGCACAGCCUACUAAAUAUUAACGCACGCUUUAUUAUAUUAAAAUCAGGCAAUGGUCUGACAAAAAAAAGGCUGCUUACGGAAGGAAUACUGUUAAGUGAAAUUUUACUUAAGAGGAUGUUAAAUCCCUAGAACUAAGGUUUCCCCCA